GUACCGAGAGUGUUAAGACUACACGUCCGGUAACCGCACUAAACACCAUAUAUUCCUAUUUGAAUCCAAGUAAAAUGAGUAUAUUUUUCGAGACUCUACCUUUAAUCGGAUAUAUGAAUAGCGCGCUAUAAAUAGCCUACAGAACAGAAUUAUGUCAUCACCUGAGUACUAGUCGAAAUAAUUACACGUUCAUACAUGUAUUGUUUUAUAUUAGACGGGCAAUCUAAAUGGGGAUAUUGCCCAUAUGAAAAAAUAUCACAAUAUUUCCUAGGAUCGCGUCAAAUUAGUUGGACUACUGUUGCUUAUUCAAAGGAGACAUGAUAUUGAACAUUUUGAGAAAUAGCACUGUGGUCAGCAUUUGUCUCACGUGAACUGUGGAUACAUUUGGAUAAUGUACCUGAAAGUUCAUCACAAUUUACUGGUGUUUUGAUAUCUACAAGAGCAGACGGCAACAGAAUUGGAGGUUACCCAAAUCUAAAGAUGUUGAGGGGUACAAGCAGCAACAUAAAAAAACUAUGAAAAACAAAUGAAAUUAAAACAACGUGAAAUCAUAUUGAAUCAUGGCACUGGCUUCCAGAUGGUUCGGCAACAAAAAAAGAUUUUUUAGCUCACCAGAGCACAAAGUGCUCAAGGUGAGCUAUUGUGAAUGACCGGCGUCCGUCGGCGUGCGUCUUGCGUCGUGCGUCAACAUUUGCCUUGUGAACACUCUGGAGGCCACAUUUGUGACUCAAUCUUUAUGAAACUUUGUCAGAUUGUUAGUCUUUAUGAUCUCAAGGUCAAGUUUGAAACUGGGUUAUGUGGGGUCAAAAACUAGGUCACCAGGUCAGAUCAAAGGAAAAGCUUGUGAACACUCUAGAGACCACAUUUUUACCUUAUUUUUAUGAAACUUGGCCAGAUUGUUAGUCUCAAUGAUCUCUAGGUCAAGAACGAAACUGGGUCAUGUGGGGUCAAAAACUAGGUCAGUAGAUCAUAUCAAAUGAAAAGCUUGUGAACACUCUAUAGACCACAUUUUUUGUCCCAAUCUUUAUGAAACUUGAUCAGAAUGUUAGUCUUGAUGAUUUCUAGUCCAAG